UACGAGGGGGGCGAGCGUUGUUCGGAAUUAUUGGGCGUAAAGAGCUCGUAGGUGGUUUGUUACGUCUGCUGUGAAAACCUAGGGCUUAACCCUGGGCUUGCAGUGGAUACGGGCAGGCUAGAGUUCGGUAGGGGAGAUCGGAAUUCCUGGUGUAGCGGUGAAAUGCGCAGAUAUCAGGAGGAACACCGGUGGCGAAGGCGGAUCUCUGGGCCGAUACUGACGCUGAGGAGCGAAAGCGUGGGGAGCGAACAGG
rnacentral:rRNA from 1 species